GCCAUCCAUUUUUGUCUGUCUCAUAACAACUUUAUUUUGACAAAAUUGAUUGCCUUUUUAUUUGGUGACAAGUCAAAUUAGAAAAGUUUCAAAAAUUCUGUUUGCGCUUCAGUACGAGUGGAAAGUCCAACCAAAAUGCUAGCUCGUUAGUUGAGAGAAAUCCACUACGCCAUCCAUGGGUGCAAGUCGGAGGCGUUGCUCCUGAUAAGCCACUUGACUCUGCUGUCUUGAGUCGUUUGAAGCAGUUCUCUGCAAUGAAUAAGCUCAAAAAAUAGCCAUUCGAGUAAUUGCUGAAAGUUUUUCUGAGGAAGAAAUUGCAGGACUGAAAGAAAUGUUCAGGAUGAUAGACACAGAUAAUAGCGGACAGAUCACUCUUGAGGAACUGAAAAAGGGUUUGGAGAGAGUGGGUUCUGUUCUUAAGGAUUCUGAAAUUGCUUGGUUAAUGCAAGCUGUAAGUGCUUGCCUGCAAUCCAAAUUGGCCGUUCUAUGUGCUACUGUUUCUUGUACUAAAGGACCUGUGACUAUUUAUGAACUAUUGCAGUCUCACUCUCAGCUAGAAUAUCUCUUGCAGACGCCAGGUUAUGUAAGUACAUGCAUGCACAUAGAAAAAUCGUUUGUGCUUCAAGGAGAGGAAACUUGAAUGCCUUGAUAAACAGUCUUUAUGUAUUUACAAAUAAUUUUUUUGCUGAAUCUGUAACCCUUUUGUGGGGUAAAUGGAUGGUAGAACGAUUUUUCAACACUUUAAUUUUUAUGAUUAGGGUGUGACUUUGUUGCUCUUUUAAAAUAUUGCCUUUUGGUUCCCUUUCAAAUAGCAACAAUGAGAAGAUGCCACAUGUAUUAGAUGACAGCAGACGUUGGAAUUUCAUGUCUCCCUA